rnacentral:lncRNA from 10 species
CUGGGGUUCCCCUAAUGUCCUCUCUCUGUCCAGGAUCCCAUCUGGGACACCCCAUUACAUUUUGUCAUCAUGUCUCAGCUUCCUCUGGUUUGUAACAGUUUCUCAGAUUUUAUUUUAUUUAUUUAUUUAUUUAUUUAUUUUUACUUGAGAUGGAGUCUUGCUCUGUCGCCCAGGCCGGAGUGCAGUGGUGUGAUCUCGGCUCACUGCAACCUCUGCCUCCCAGGUUCAAGCAAUUCUCCUACCUCACCCUCCCAAGUAACUGGGAUUACAGGCGCAGGCUGCCACGCCCAGCUAAUUUUUUUGUAUUUUAGUAGAGACGGGUUUUCACUGUGUUGUCCAGGCUGGUCUCCAACUUCUGAGCUCAGGUAAUCCACCCGCCUUGGCCUCCCAAAGUGCUUGGAUUACAGGUGUGAGCCACCGCGACCGGCCAGAUUUUCCCUUUUCUUCAACAGCGUUGAGAAGCACUAGUCAGACAUUCUGUCACAAGUCUCCCCACUGAGGUUUGUAAGUAGUUUUUCUCACAGUACAACUUGGGGCUGUGGGUUUUUCGGGGAAACCCACAGAGGUGAUUUGUCCUGCUUCUCACAUCAUAUCCAGGCCACACGCUAUCACUGUGGUUUAUCACUGAUGGGAUUAAUGGUGAUGGCGUGGCUGGGGUAGUGUUUGCCAGAUUUCUCUAUCGUCAGGUUACCCUUUCCACUUUUCCAUAUUCAUUCUUUGGAAGUGUGAACCCCCAAAAUUUGAGACAGGUCUCUGUUAAUUUAGAAAGUUUAUUUUGCCAAGGCUGAGGACAGGCGCCUGUGACAGCCUCAGGAGGUCCUGACGACCUGUGCCCAAGGUGAUCGGGGCACAGUUUGGUUGUAUACAUUUUAGGGAGACAUGAGACCGCAAUCCAUACAUGUAAGAACCAUACAGCCGGGUGCGGUGGCUCACGCCUGUAAUCCCAGCACUUUGGGAGGCCGAGGCAGGUGGAUCACGAGGUCAGGAGGGAGGGAGGAGCAUGUUGGCUUGUGAUUAUUCAACAAACAUAAGAAGUGCCUUUCCUACUUUGUGUCCUGUGUGAGUCGGGAACUAAGAUAAAGCGGGUGGUGAAGGAACUGGCGAGGAAGCAUCACAGCAGGGGGGCUGUGCCAGCUUUGAGGAGUCAGUGUGGCACAGAGACUUGCUGUGGUCUGGCUUCCUCGAGGAAGGAACUGUUGCAGGUGUUCACAUGUAUCAGUGCUAUUUAGAGCUACAUGCCCAAAGGCUGUUUGGCCAGCUGGGGAUCUGAUUCUGGUCUCCUAGCUGCUUGUUUUGGUUUCAAAUCUCCUGACUCUUGGGUUUCAGCAGCAUCUGGGAGGCCAAAUGCGUGCUGAGAUUAGCAUGUGCAGGGUCUGUCCUUGGCCCUUUCCAUAGUUUCCCUAAGAGAGUCAUUAGGUUGACCCCUAGAUCUGGCCUAAAUCCAUCGGCUUACGUAUUUAUAUUGGGCUUCACAGGCUGCAUGGAAACCCUUCGCUAGCGUCCCACAUGGAAUCCAAGAGCAGAAGGUGAGGCUUGGCCUUAUGGGGUGGGAGACAGGACUGGGGAGGAGUUAGCCUCCUCCUUUCUAAGAUCUGAUUUUUGUGUAACUCUGAAGCAUAAAAUGGUGGCCCUAACCCAAGGGCUACCUGACCUUUUGGUUCUUGAACCCCAAACUAAUCAGGUGUUUCUGUCUCUUAAGGGGAAGAAUCUCAUCGGUCCAGCUCUACUCAGGUGCCACUCCCUGUCUAAUCAACUGUGACUGGGCUCAUGUUACUCCUGCCCCCUUCCCCCCACAUACAUGCUGCAGGUGUCUGAGUAAUUGAUGUAGUUGUGGUGGUGAAUUGAGUGUAUCUGUUGCAUGAUUGAGCCCAUUGACAGCCAAGCUCACUGUGGCAGAACAUGCCCUUUCUCAUCCCUGCUUUGAGAAGUGUCUGCUGAAUGCCCAGCCUGCCCCACGAGGCAGGCGCCACCCUGCAGAGAUGGGACAUCUAGCAUUUGUAACACAUGUCACUGUGGGUGUCCUUUCUCUCGCAAACUAGGGAUUUUUUCUUCUUCUUCUUCUUUUUGUUUUUUUUUUUUUAGAUGGAGUCUUGCUCUGUCACCCAGGCUGGAGUGUAGUGGCGUGAUCUCGGCUCCCCACAACGUCUGCUUCCCGGAUUCAAGCGAUUCUCCUACCUUAGCCUCCCAAGUAGCUGGGACUACAGGCGUGCCACCAUGCCUGGCUAACUUUUUGUAUUUUUAGUAGAGACGGGGUUUUGCCAUGUUGGCCAGGCGGGUGGGAUUUCUUCUGUAUUGACAGGGCCAGCAUAGAGCAAGGCACAUAACAGGAGACUUUUGUUAAAUUAACAGAUGCACACUUCCUUUAAUAAUAUUUAGUGUGCUUUAUAGAUUCUUCCCCGUUUUUAUUAUUUAUUUGUGAGGACUUGUCCUUGCUUCAUAGAUGAGAAAACCCAGGCUCGGAGAGAUUAAAUCGCUUGCCCAGCCAUUUCUAAAAUGGAUUAAAUCCCUUGUUGUCUUGUUGUCUUUUGAAGCAGUUCACUGAGCACGUGACUCAUGCCACCACCUAUUGAUGUCUUGGGAUUCUGGAGCAUCAGCUGGCCUCUGCUAUCAAUAAGCCUGCUUCGGGCAGCUUCCUCUCCCUUUUUAUGGAAUGGACUAAGAAAUCUACAUGGUUGGGGUUGUGCGAAAAUCAAGAGCAGUGAGGUUUAGGCUGGAGAUCUGGAGACAUUCGUUACAGAAUAAAACAUAUGAAACAGUGCACGGGCUUUGUGACAGCUUGUUUGUCUCCUCAGAAGCCAUUUUUGCUCAGUCCUACAUUUAGAAAGAACCCAGAUUCAACUAGAAAUUGGCUCUCUGAAUACAGAGGAUGCCUUUGAAUUCCGAUUUUGUCAGUAGGGGUGAUGGAGAACACUGGCAUCUCUGCAAUAUGCUUUUGAAAAUAAAAUGCUUCAUAAUAAAAUGCUCUGGCCGUUUCCCCUAAAUCCCAUUUCCCCCCCCCAAUUCAGCCGCCUGACGUCCUAAAACAUUGCCCUAACAUCUAUACAUUCAUCUUAAUCUGAGGCACCCACAGGACUCCACGAUCUAAGUUCCAAUUUUGAAACCAAUAUGCUUCAGGAUAGAGGUGUUCCUAGAAAGAAUUCGUGUGACAAUUAUAUUUUUAUUGGAAUGGAGCCUCCCCUUGACUCUUUAUACUCUCAUCAUGUGUUCUGGGGGCAAGUAGAUGAGAGGGAUUUGGCCAAGAGGUAUCAAAAGAGGCAUUCACUUAAUGUGCCCCAGCCAUCUGCACAUCUGUUCAUACAGCUCAGCAUAUGCUGUGUGCUGUGUUGGGCUUGGGAGACACAGAAAAGUAUAACACACCCUUCCUGCUUUAGAGAAGCUGGGUUUCAAAUCAAGUUACAGCAUAAAAUGAAAACAUAAAAAG